AUUGAACGCUGGCGGCAGGCCUAACACAUGCAAGUCGAGCGAGCGGCGGACGGGAGAGUAAUGCCUGGGAAUUGCCCAGUCGGGGGGGAUCACAGGUGGAAACGACUGCUAAUACCGCAUAAGAGUGGAUUCCCCAGGUGGGAUUAGCGAGGGGGUGGGGUAAUGGCGCACCAAGGCGACGAUCCCGAGCUGGGCUGAGAGGAUGAUCAGCCACACGGGAACUGAGACACGGUCCAGACUCCUACGGGAGGCAGCAGUGGGGAAUAUUGCACAAUGGGGGAAAGCCUGAUACAGCCAUGCCGCGUGUAUGAAGAAGGCCUUCGGGUUGUAAAGCACUUUCAGCGAGGAGGCGUUACUCGCAGAAGAAGCACCGGCUAACUCCGUGCCAGCAGCCGCGGUAAUUC
rnacentral:rRNA from 1 species